rnacentral:lncRNA from 1 species
UGGGUUCCCACAUAAGAAAUGUAUAUGUAUUUCAGGUUCAUAAACUGCAGGCUAUAGACAGACUUGCUUGCAAGUUAUUUAAGCUACAAUACUAAUGAAAAUCAUCUGAAUAUAACUUUGGUUCAGGAUACAUGCCACCAGAUUGUACAACAAUAGUAAACUUGACACUAACAUCACACAAAAAUUAGUGCCCAUCACAAAUGGCAAACUUGACAAGGCUAUAUGGCUAUAUGCUCUGAACAUCGCGACACCAUCUUUCUUCACAUCAUGCGAGGAAGCAUCCAACAGCACGACCCGUGAAAGAGCCCACAAAUCACCAAUAAAAGAAGCCUCUGCCCAUGGUCCCAGAAACUCAUAGAACCUGAGGGGAUGAACAUGGUCACCUCGGUUAGCCAAUUAGAAAAACAUAUGCUAGUCCCUAAAGCAUGGAAAGAUGGAUGUAUAAUACGUUGGCAGUACAGACUACGGAGACAAUAGUGAAACAAUAGAAUACAUUGUAUACGAGGAUGAAAGACAUCCUUCUAAUUAAGCUACUGUAGUUAGCAAUGCAUCUUUUUUUAAUAUAGUUUGGCAAUGAAAAUAUUAGAGCCUUGGCAUAAUAGGUAUGUGAAACCUUCGGAAUAUCAAUCGUUAUUUUUAUGCCAGAAUAACAAAAUGGAAUCUGAUGUACCUUAAGGUGGUUCCAGCAUGGUCCAAAGAAAAAAAANN